AAUUCCUACAUUCAGACCAAAGCUCUCCAAUGCGCGUCCUCCACCAAGGCGAAAAUCCGACCACCAUUUUGCCGCGUCGGAAAUAGCCUCCGGCAAUGUCGGAGGCUCAAACUACACGAACCAUACCUUAAAAUACACGUCUCAAUGAGCUUUAUCAAAGACCUAUGUCAAUUCUUUCAAACCUUCAGUCACGACUUCGAAUCAAAGCAACACAUUCAAGAAUCCUAGCCAUCACUUUGAUAAUUUUAUAUCACGGAGAUAGUAAUAGGAGCCCCAACCAUGUGGCUUUGGCUCCCCACACACCACACUACAUCACAACGACUAGUUCAACACGAAACAAGGGAGAGAUGAAGGCUUACUUACCGGAACAGCUCCGGUGGCUCUUGAUGUUGGUUGACGAAAACCAGGGACCUUGCUUUUCAGACUUUGUUUUGCUGCCAGCUGCAUGGAUUGGCAGUAAUAUCUCAUGGAAGCUGGAAGCUAUGAAGACAAGACCAAGGCAAUAAGGAUUACUCCCAUUUUGUCAUGUUAAUGUAAUAACAAAUGUUUGGAUCAAAAGAAAUGUAAUUAAGGCCAACUGGCUUAUGUAAUAAAUUCAAUUAGAAUAUGUUCUAUGGCUUCCCUUUUAUGCGAAUAUUUGAUAUUUACACCAUUUUCCCAAUGAAGCUUAGCUAUCUACUUAUUUAACAUCAUGCAAAAUGGUCAAAAAUUUCCUAUUCAAGUCAUGGCCUAAGUCAAUCACAUAGCAAAUAAUAAAUGGAACCUAGCAUGUCUCAUUUUUAGGCUUGUUGACUUUGGUAUUCUGCAAGUUAUUUAAGCAUUUUAUCAAUUUUUAGUUUUAUUUUGUGUUUUCGGGAUUUUAUGCUUUGGUUGUCUGUGUUUAUGCCCUCCAGGUCCACGUAGAAGAUCCAACGAACUCAAUGCAAGAAAGUGGAAGGUUCCAGCAUUCGAGGAAAAGAGAUUUUUCAAUAUAGGAGGCCUGACACGGCCACCAGUGUCACCUGACACCGUGUCAGGAAUAAGGCAAAUCAAAUACAAGAAAUGACCAAGACAGGGGUCUGACACGGCCACCCGUGUCAGGUCACCUGGGAUGAAGCUGGAGAGAAGGAUAAGGCAGUGAGCUGACACGGGACGUGUCAGCCCACGCACUAAAUCUUGAAUCUAUUUUAAACAAUAUGAGUAGCUAAACCCCUCAAUGCUAGGGGGUGUCCCUGAUUUAGAUCUGUAAUGACUUUGAGUUUACAAUUGCAUUGAUAAUAUUUUUUUUCAUAA